CAGAAAAGAACAAGGCGUCACCUCCUGCCCCAGCAACUGGUGGCCCACAGAUUGUCCAUGUCAGGAGAGGCCCACCAGAGUGUGCCAGGGCCUCUGAUGAAGCGAGGAGUGGUUGUGACCCCACAGUCGAAACUAGACAGUCGGUGGGCACAGCCGCGCAUGGGGAGCUGCGAGGAAAGGACAGUGCAUUUCAGAGUUCAGGACGUGACUGGGGAGGGCGCAUUGGUGUCUGGAGCCCCCUCCACCUGCCCAGUGCUGAGUCCCACCACAGGAAAGGACAGGAUCCAAGCCCGGGACCACACAUCGCCACGGGACGUGUGGGCCAGCGCCAGGCUGAGGGAAAGGAGGACCUGGGAGAGAGGCGGUGGAACCAUGGCACAUAGUUUCCUUUUGAAAAAUUGCCUGAUUAGAGUUAAAUCAAUAAAAUCAUAAAUCCAAAUCAGGAGAAAGAUGCAAUUAUGAACGCACUCUCCUGGGACACAGAUAAUUUA